rnacentral:rRNA from 1 species
UACGAAGGGGGCUAGCGUUGCUCGGAAUUACUGGGCGUAAAGGGCGCGUAGGCGGAUAUUUAAGUCGGGGGUGAAAGCCCAGGGCUCAACCCUGGAAUAGCCUUCGAUACUGGAUAUCUUGAGUUCGGGGAGAGGUGAGUGGAACUGGCGAGUGUAGAGGUGAAAUUCGUAGAUAUCGCAAGAACACCAGUGGCGAAGGCGGCUCACUGGCCCGGUACUGACGCUGAGG